UACAGAGGGGGCGAGCGUUGUUCGGAAUUACUGGGCGUAAAGGGCGCGUAGGCGGCCUGCUAAGUCGGACGUGAAAUCCCUCGGCUCAACCGGGGAACUGCGUCCGAUACUGGUUGGCUUGAAUUCGGGAGAGGGAUGCGGAAUUCCAGGUGUAGCGGUGAAAUGCGUAGAUAUCGUUUGGAACGCCAAUGGUGAAAACAGACAGCUGGGAGUGUGCUGACGCUGAGGCACGAAAGCCAGGGGAGCAAACGGG
rnacentral:rRNA from 1 species